UGCGGGGUCUGCUAAUGGUAGGCGACACGGCUCUGGACCGUGGGAUCUUGGUUCGAAUCCAAGCCCCGCAG
rnacentral:tRNA from 1 species